GCCGAGCUCAGUUGCGCGGGCUUGUGACCUAAGUGGGGGCAACAAUGUGGUGGAACAUGGGUUCAGGUCUUGCGGGCCGGGCUCGUGGUGGCAAUAUUCUGGCCCGCCCGUUCCAAGCCGAGAGUUGAUCCGUGCGGUCCGAGCGAAGGCUUGGGCCUUGCGGGUCCUAGAGUGGAGGAGUCCGCGUGAGGCUGGCUUCACAGAGCAGCGAAAACCUCCCUCUCCCGGCAGUGGGAGGAUAACGGGCCGGUGCCACUCGGGCCCAUCAUGACCCAAUGGGCUGAGCCUACCGAACCACCACACUU
rnacentral:SRP_RNA from 1 species